UUUUUUUUUUUUGAGACAGAGUCUCGCUCUGUCUCCCAGGCUGGAGUGCAGUGGCACGAUCUUGGCUCACUGCAAGCUCCGCUUCCUGGGUUCACGCCAUUCUCCUGCCUCAGCCUCCAGAGUAGCUGGGACUACAGGCACCCGCCACCACACUUGGCUGAUUUUUUCUAUUGUUUAGUAGAGACGGGGUUUCACCAAGUUAGCCAGGAUGGUCUCGAUCUCCUGACCUUGUGAUCCACCCACCUCGGCCUCCCAAAGUGCUGGGAUUACAGGUGUGAGCCACCGGGCCCGGCCUAAACAAAUAUUUUCAUUCAUUCAGGCCAGGUGGCUUAUAGGUUUCUGACUAUAAGAAGAGGGGAAGAAACCUGGGGUCUAAUACCUCAAAUUUGAAUGCUUGACAAUCAAAUUCCCAUUUAUUACUUACUGUACCUAAUGUGGAGAAACUUUACGAGACAUGAAGACUCCAAGUGUGGAGGAAUAAAUUGUAGAAGUUCUCUGGACCAUUGGAUUUUCUUUUCCCUGGGGAAAGUCUUUUGGUCGUUUAUCAUAAUUGCUGCUUGUUAAAACAGGUAAAAUACUUGUUAAGGGCUGUGCUUUUCAUGACUAAAUUAUUUGCAUAUAUAAACCUAAAUAACAUUUUAGAAUCAUAGAAUUUCUUCUCUGGCAACAUCAGUUCAAUUUUAGGUAACUGUCUAUCCAAUGCAAAUUCUGCAUGCUCAGGCUUGGGGGUUAGAGGAUGGAUAUGCCAAUGUCUAGAAUGUCUUCUGUUCUCCCUAGUGUACAUUUCUCUCCUAACUGUGACUGGCUUUCUAUAAGGAGCCAUCAGUAUGGUCAAGCCCCAAACCAUAUCUACAUCAGAUUUCAUGCUUUUUUUUUUUUUUUUUGGUGGGGAGAGGGACAGAUCAUUGUUGACACUGUAAGUAAGUAGAUAAAAGAUCUGAUAAGAUUUUUUGCCCUUUAUCUGUGUCUGACAGGUUCUCUCUAAUCUAUAAGCAGGGAAAUAGAAAAUUUAUUAUAAAUACAAAUGAUUUCAUUGCUAUGAUCAGCAGCAGUGACUCAGGUAUUUGCAUCUAAUAACCUGUGUGGAGAGGGUAAGGGCACUUGAUUUAGUUACCAGAGGAAAAAACUAGUUCUUUGGCUAGUUUCCUUCUGUCACAAUGGAAAAACCCUGUCAUUACUCAAAGGAAGAGAAAAAGGGAGGGGAGGAAGGUGAGAGGAAGGGAGAGAGACUUUCCCAGUGAGGACUUUCCUUUCCUAUUUUAUAUUUUGCUCCAUUGUACUUACUGCCAUCAUUGUUUAUGGUUUACUUACUUUAUGUAUUGUCUGUCCUCCCACUGGAAUGUAAGCUACAUAAAGGCAGGCGUUUCGGCAUCUUUGAAAGCAUAAAUGAACAAAUGAACUAAACUUCAUUUAUUGACAUCAGUGCUAUCUGACACAAGUUCCUUUAACUUUCUCCUUCACCUCGGAAUAUCUGAAUCAUCAGCUAUCUUCAGCUUCUCCCUUGCCAAGACUAACCCUUCAGCUCUGUUUUUUAUUAUUCUUUUGCCCUGUUUUGGAUAUUGCAGUUUCAAUCACUUCUACUCAUUCAUAUUUUUAAUAUAUAUCUUCUGCUCCACUCUCUUCAGCCUACAAACAUGUAGGUCUACAUUAAACUGAAAAUCCUUCCUAUAUUCUGUUGCAUCCUUGAGUAACAUAUUCUCUUGCUCUUUCCUUUAAUAAAUUUUCUUGAAAGAAUAUCCAUAACUAAUGUUUCUGCUUUCUUAAUACAGUCAUUCUUUACCUUUUGCAAUUUAGUUUUUAUCCCAACCAAAUUUAACACUUUAAAUCUGAAUUUUCUUUGACAUCUCAAUAGCAUCCGUCAAUUGUGUCCGUCUUUUCCUUGAAAUUCUUCCUAAGGCUUUUGAAGUAUUUCACCAUUUUCUAAUUGCUGCUUUUGUCUCCACUGGCUCUUCUUCCUCCUGCUCCCUAAACCGACUCCAGAUUUCUGUUCCUUGCCCAUACAUUCAGCCAUCACCUCUGUGUAAACGAUGCUUAAAAUUAUUAUAUCUCCAAUUCUGACUUCUCAGUUGAGAUCUAAUAUUACAUAUACAUGAUUCAUUACCUCAGCCCAAAACUUUGAAGUUGAACUCGAUGUCCUCUUUCUUCCAUCCAUCAAUGGCUUCUACCUCAGAUUUUGCAGUUUCCUUCCCCCACCAUGUCUUUCAUUCAUGUCCCUCUUUUAUGUUGACUGUUCCCCCACUCCCAGUUCUUGUCCUCACACAUGGCCCAUUCAGGUAGACUUCUAAUGGUACUUUUACACAUCCAGUUGUUCCCCUUUGACAUGUCCUGCACAAUAACCCUGGAUUCAUCUUAAUAAAGAUAUGCUGAUCAUGUCACCCACAGGGUCAGGAAUCUGCAGUGGUUCACUGCUGCUUAAAUAAUAAAAUUCAAGCCAAGGAUUUAAGAUCUUUCAUAACUUGACUCCAACCUACUUUCCCACUAUAUUCCUAAUACUCAAGCUUUUGGCAAGUUGAACUCCCUGCCAAUCAUCCCAAACACCUGGAGCUUUCCUGUUGCCAUGGUUUUGUUCAUUAUUUUUACUUAAAGUUCCCGUCAAUCAAGUUUUCACAUUCUAUAAGAUCCAGCUCAAAAAUCAAAUAAAUAGAGAACUGUAACACAAGCAGCACACAAUUCAUGCCACUGGAGAAAGUACAAAAUAGAAAUAAAAUGUGAAGACUUUAUUUCUGCUACAAAUUAUAUAAUACCUUUUAAGACAGAGUCCAAUUAUCCAUUUUUAUAUAUGAUAAACUAUUUUAUACAGUACCUUGGAGGUAAUAGGUUCUUGAUAUCUAUCUAAUAUCUGUUUGGCUGAAGACACUGAUAAGGAGGAAUGCAUGCAUAAUUCAGUGAAUACCCAACCUUUAUAAUAAUAAGGUAUUUCCUAUCCUUCCAUAAAAUUAUAAUUUUUUUGUGAUAGAUACUUGCUGUUUUAUUAUUCUGUCUGAUAUUCCGUAGAUAGCCAAUAACAUUUACAUUUAUUCAAUCUGAAGUUACUGCACAUAUACUAUGUGUCAGGUAUUUUUUUAGAUUUGGCUAGGUGCUUUCAAAGAUGAAUGAAGAUGCUCUUUGUCUUAAUAAAUUUAACUCUGAUUUUGAAGAUAGAAUUAAUAAAGUAGAGAUGCAUUUUGACUUCC
rnacentral:lncRNA from 10 species